UAGACAAAUCAUACAGAGUCCAACUUACAUUGUUAGGGCUAAAAUUGGUACUCCACCUCAAACUUUGCUUUUGGCUAUGGAUACUAGUAAUGAUGCUGCUUGGAUUCCUUGUACUGCUUGUGAUGGUUGUGCUUCAACUUUGUUUGCUCCUGAAAAAUCAACUACAUUUAAGAAUGUUAGUUGUGCUGCUCCUGAAUGCAAACAGGUAUUUACUUCACUAACAAAGACACAUUUUUUUGUCAAGGUUUUCGUGACUAGGUAUAUUUUUAUAUUGGCGUAAAUUUGAUAAAAUUAUGAUAGUACUAUGAUUUCGUGAAACUUUAAAAUGUAGUUUUUGUUAAAAAAUUACGAAGGUUCAUCUUGAUUCUGAUAAUCUCAUCACCGUGAAUCUAAACAUUGGAAGAAAAUUAUGGUUUUAAAUUGUGGUUGUGGUCGUGACUUUGAUAUGGUGACACGAUACAAAUGAUGCAAUUGCAAUUAUCGUCACGAUGUUGCUAAGACAUCUAAAACUUUAUAAUGUUGCUAUAAUUGUUUGCAAACCCUAAUUUAAAAAUCUGAGUUGAUUUCAAUUUCCAAGCUCUCACAUCUAUUUUUUAUUUUGAUUCUUUGCCUUUUUCUUCAUAAACAUUUUUUUCGGUGCAAUGAUUUAUUUUUACUCCAAGGUAUUUAUUCUAAUAAUUUGCUAGUACCUUCAUUAAAAAUUGAAAUAUUUUGAUUUUUGAUUAUAUGCAAAAUCUAUUCAUGGUUUUCAUGUUUUGUUAACUAGCUAGUGGAUUAUGCAUUAUUAAAAUCACAACAAUUGUGAAAUAUUUGUUGAAAAAGGUAAUCUGUUUAAUAUAUGAUCAUACUUUAAGAAAAGAUGUGAUUUGAAUACUUUACAGUUUUUUAUUUCGUAAUCAGCAUCAUAACAUAAGAUACUAUAUUUUUAUUUUGUAAUCAUAUCCAAAGAUACUCCUUAUUUUGUCGAUUGUCAUAUUUCUAUUCUAUUUUAAAAUUUAAAACAAUCACGUGACCUCAAAUGCCACAAGGUACACAUCGCUACUGUGAAUGUUUUUGUACUCUAGUGAAGUGUACAUAAAAAUUUGUUUGAACUGGUGAAAGAUUUGUUUUGAGGAUGCCAAUAAAAUUAUUGAAUCACUACAUGAUAUUUAGUGUAGAAGUGAGCCAAUUAAAUUCUUCAAAUUAAUGGAAUUUUUAUAUGAUCCCUAAAAAUUACUAAAAUACUUGGUCACUUUGUUACGUGACAAUUGUAAAACUAAUUUGAUCGACUAAAAGAUAAAAGAAUAUCCUUCUGGUUGUAUUUAUAAGCAAUUUUUUUUUAUAACUGAUGUGUUUGGAUUAUAAUAUAUUUCAGAUACAUCAGUUAUUAUGUUUUAAAAAAAAAAAAAUACAUCUGUUAUUUAAUAAAUCUAAAAAAACAAAAAUAUUUAUAAAUAUGAUCGGAAAAAGUAUUAUAUAUCGUCGUAAAAUAGAGCUUAAAUUAUCUUAGACAAACUACUUAAAUUAUCUUUACUUGGACAAAAGUUCACAUGACAUACAGCUUGGCACGAAUCUUUUACCUUUACUUGCCGUUGAAGGGUAAUUACUAGUUUCACAAUGAAAGGGACUACAAGGAGAGAUUAUUUGAUCACAUUGAAACGUGCAACUUUUGUCCCAUUGUAGGUGGGGUUGACUUAUAUCCUAGCCCAAUCUAUGAAUCCAAAAUAUUGAAAGCUAUGUGCUCUCUAUGGCAGGCAAAGGUUCACGAGACUUGGAGUCUUCUAAAAUCUAAAUGCACUUUUUCCAAUGAUGUAAUCAUGGUUUAAAAAUUGGAUUGAAACCGUCGUAUUAAUCGGUCAAUAAAAAUUGACCGAUUUAUCAGUUGGUUUAUUUUCGACAGUUUUAAAUUCUAUUAGUUGAAUUAGAUUGAUAUGAGUUGAAUAGAUUGAAUUGAAUUCUAGUUGAAUUAGAUUGAACUAGGUUGAGUUGAUUGAAUUGUAAAUGACGAAAAAAUUCAAAAAUCGAUUAAUACAUUGGUUGGUUUAUUCUGGUCUAAUAACCAUUGAAUGGAUUGAACCAUGAUCAGUCUUAUUAAUUCAUUCUCCAUCUCAUUUUUGAAACAUUGGUAUUAAUGUGAACAUUUUAUUUUGUUUCAUUUUUCAGGUACCUAACCCUGGUUGUGGUGUGAGCUCAUGCAAUUUCAACCUAACCUAUGGCAGUUCCUCUAUUGCAGCUAACUUGGUACAAGACACUAUUAC
rnacentral:lncRNA from 1 species